ensembl:miRNA gga-mir-6656 gga-mir-6656
AAGGCAGCCCCAGAGGGUGGAGGGAUGCAGGGCGAGUAGAGAAAGGCAUCUUACAUCUCCUCGGUGGCUUGCUCUGGGGCCCGCAUCCUUGUGCCUUCCUUUAGUUUGCU